GAUCCUGGCUCAGAACGAACGCUGGCGGCGCGCCUAAUACAUGCAAGUCGAGCGAGAAGGUGUAGCAAUACACUUGUAAAGCGGCGAACGGGUGAGGAACACAUGGGUAACCUACCAUCGAGUGGGGAAUAACCAGCCGAAAGGUUGGCUAAUACCGCGUACGCCUCCGAGUCUUCGGAUUCAGAGGGAAAGCUACACUGAGAGUGUGGCGCUCAUUGAUGGGCUCAUGUCCUAUCAGCUUGUUGGUAGGGUAACGGCCUACCAAGGCUUUGACGGGUAGCUGGUCUGAGAGGACGAUCAGCCACACUGGCACUGCGACACGGGGCCAGACUCCUACGGGAGGCAGCAGUAAGGAAUAUUGCGCAAUGGGCGAAAGCCUGACGCAGCGACGCCGCGUGGGGGAUGAAGGUCUUCGGAUUGUAAACCCCUUUCGGGAGGGAAGAUGGAACGAGCAAUCGUUCGGACGGUACCUCCAGAAGCAGCCACGGCCAACUUCGUGCCAGCAGCCGCGGUAAUACGAAGGUGGCAAGCGUUGUUCGGAUUCACUGGGCGUACAGGGUGUGUAGGCGGUUUGGUAAGCCUUCUGUUAAAGCUUCGGGCCCAACCCGGAAAGCGCAGAGGGUACUGCCAGGCUAGAGGACGGGAGAGGAGCGCGGAAUUCCCGGUGUAGCGGUGAAAUGCGUAGAGAUCGGGAGGAAGGCC
rnacentral:rRNA from 1 species